AUUGAACGCUGGCGGAAUGCUUUACACAUGCAAGUCGAGCGGCAGCGCGGGGCAACCUGGCGGCGAGCGGCGAACGGGCGAGUAAUGCAUCGGAACGUACCCUGUCGUGGGGGAUAACUAUCCGAAAGGAUAGCUAAUACCGCAUACGACCUGAGGGUGAAAGCGGGGGACCGAAAGCCCUCGCGCGAUGGGCGCCGCCGAUGUCGGAUUAGCUAGUUGGUGAGGUAAAGGCUCACCAAGGCGACGAUCCGUAGCGGGUCUGAGAGGACGACCCGCCACACUGGAACUGAGACACGGUCCAGACUCCUACGGGAGGCAGCAGUGGGGAAUUUUGGACAAUGGGCGCAAGCCUGAUCCAGCCAUUCCGCGUGAGUGAAGAAGGCCUUCGGGUUGUAAAGCUCUUUCGGCAGGGAAGAAACGGUGUGGGCUAAUACCCUGCAUUAAUGACGGUACCUGAAGAAGAAGCACCGGCUAACUACGUGCCAGCAGCCGCAGUAAGAC
rnacentral:rRNA from 1 species